rnacentral:tRNA from 1 species
GGUAUAGCGCAGUUGGUUAGAGCGCCAGAUUGUGGAUCUGGAGGUCGUGGGUUCAAAUCCCAUUACC